rnacentral:rRNA from 1 species
GGGCCCGCACAAGCGGUGGAGCAUGUGGUUCAAUUCGACGCAACGCGAAGAACCUUACCCAGGCUUGAACUGCGAGUGACCACUCCCGAAAGGGAGCUUCCGCAAGGACACUUGUAGAGGUGCUGCAUGGCUGUCGUCAGCUCGUGUCGUGAGAUGUUGGGUUAAGUCCCGCAACGAGCGCAACCCUUGUCUUCUGUUGCCAUCAGGUUAUGCUGGGCACUCUGAAGAGACUGCCGGUGAUAAACCGGAGGAAGGUGGGGAUGACGUCAAGUCAGCAUGGCCUUUAUGUCUGGGGCUACACACGUGCUACAAUGGCCGAUACAAACCGUCGCGAUACCGCAAGGUGGAGCUAAUCGGAGAAAGUCGGUCUCAGUUCGGAUAGCAGGCUGCAACUCGCCUGCUUGAAGUUGGAAUCGCUAGUAAUCGCGGAUCAGCACGCCGCGGUGAAUACGUUCCCGGGCCUU